rnacentral:tRNA from 1 species
AUCUUUCUAGUAUUAAUUGUACGAGUGACUUCCAAUCACCCAGUCUUGGUCAAAACCCAAGGAAAGAUA